GGGGAAUUUUCCGCAAUGGGCGAAAGCCUGACGGAGCAAUACCGCGUGAGGGAGGAAGGCUCUUGGGUUGUAAACCUCUUUUCUCAGGGAAGAAUGAUGACGGUACCUGAGGAAUAAGCAUCGGCUAACUCCGUGCCAGCAGCCGCGGUAAUACGGAGGAUGCAAGCGUUAUCCGGAAUGAUUGGGCGUAAAGCGUCCGCAGGUGGCAAUGUAAGUCUGCUGUCAAAGCGUCUGGCUCAACCAGAUAAAGGCAGUGGAAACUACAUAGCUAGAGUAAGGUAGGGGUAGAGGGAAUUCCUGGUGUAGCGGUGAAAUGCGUAGAGAUCAGGAAGAACACCGGUGGCGAAAGCGCUCUGCUGGACCUUAACUGACACUGAGGGACGAAAGCUAGGGGAGCGAAUGGGAUUAGAUACCCCAGUA
rnacentral:rRNA from 1 species